UCUGUCCUCUCAGGUUUUGAAUAUCUUGAGGAAUGCACAGCCUCUCUGGACAACCUCUUCCAGCAUUGGACUUGUUUAUUCUUAUGAUAAUAUGAAAUUUUGCUGCUUUUCAAUUUAUAUCUCUUGCCUUUUGUACUGUCAGUUGGCACCACUGAGAAGGAUCUGGCUCCCACUUAUUCAUUCACUCCCAUCAAGUAUUGAUACACAUUGGGAAGACUUGUACCAGCCCCUUGCUGGGCCACCCACCAAACCUUCUUCUGCAAAGUGAACUGUCCUAUAUAUCUCAGAUCCCCUUUCAUGAAAGGUGCUCCAGUCCCAUAAAUAUCUUUCUGUUCCUGUACUAGAUUGUCCCCAGUAUGUACAUGACUCUUCUGCCAGAGAGCCCACAGCUGGACACUCUCAAUAGUGCUAAGCAGAGGAGAAGAAUCUCCUCUUUUUAUCUGCUAGAGAUAUUUUUCCUGCUUAGGAUGCUUGUAGCCCUUUUUUUCCACUCAUUGGACACUUGUGAUUCAUGGUCAAUUCAUGGUCCACCAGGAACACUAGAUUCUUUCUUGAAAAGCUCUUUUGCAGACAAUCAAGCUCCACAGUUUACUGGUGUGUGGAUUUAUUCCUCUUCAGGUACAGAACACUUUAGCAGGCACAGGGCCUGCAAGGCCUUGGCGAUCAGAGGCCUGAAGCUAGGAAAUGCCGAGUCAGCAUGACUGGGCCUUACAAGCCCCUCUCUUCCUCCUUUCGGACCCUGCUUAUCUCCCUGUAAAUCCAUAGGUCACUUUCCCCUGACCCUUACUAUUGGACAGUUUUCAAAACCCCUGUAGGGUAUAAAAACCCCUAAUUCUGCCCGGUUCGGCAGAAGAGCUGUCACUGGAUCCUUCGCGGAGCCCCGAAUAAAAGAAUCCUGCAGAACCCAUACAGCACUUCUCAUAUCUCCCUCUCUGCGUCUGCUGCCGCAGCACCUAGCAAGCUAAAGAGCUGGAGAUCACUAAAGAGCUGAUUAUCACUAAGAGCUGCAAAUCACUAUAGCUUGCCUAGGCUGCCUGAGCCCCCCGCUGAGCUAUCCUGGCCGGCGUCCGGCAUUCCCUGCUGGGCUCCUGCCCUGAGGGUAAUGACCCGGCCACAGAACAUAAAACUUUUGUCAGCUUCAUGGGGUUCGUCUUUACCCCUUUCUUCAGCUUUUUAAGAUUCCUCUGAAUGGAAGUCCAACAGUUUGAGCUUCUCCUUGACAUUUUAUUUUCAUCUACAAACUAGCUAAAGGAAUAUAACUUUCAUCUUGCAAAAAGGAUUCCGACUUCUAAUCUUCAAAUGUCUUUAGUGAAUUCCAAAUUCUCUUCUGUGAUCCUGAUGUCAGAGGAAAGUGAUAAAAUUGAAAAUUUGGAAGUCAAUUUUUUUGUAUGCUUCACACAACACAUUCUUCUAGGAAGACAAACAUGUGAACUGAACUUUAAGGUCCAGUAUGAAGACUGUCCCUUGCAGUUAUGCUUUGAAUACAGAACCCUCCACAGGAUAGGACAAAGGAAGGAAUGGAACGAGUGCAGCGAUCAACUUAAUGAAUUGUCUUUUUGAAUUAGCUGUUGCCUUUUAGCGGCAUAACCACAUACACUACACUUCCAGAUCCCUUUUUUUUGUUUGUUUGUUUGAAGCUCAUGUGCAUUUUUGACCUAGUCUGAUUCCAGAGGAAACAAUGUACUCUAGUCCCAUUGCUUUUUUCUGUGAAAGAAGACAUAGGGGGAGACAGCAAGGAAAGAAACUGCAAGGGUAUCACUUCAGAGCACAGAGAGGCAAAACAAAAGGUGGAGUGUCCAAAUGCUGCAUGUUCCUUGGUCUGGUAAAUUCACAUCUGAGCAGGCAAAGGUGUUGCUGCACUUAAGAGAACUGUAUGAGCUGCAGUAGUUUUCCAUGACUGCCCCUAUCUUAUCUUAUCUUACAUGUGAAAUAAAAUGCGUAAGCUUA